UCUGUUUUAAAUUCACCAAUAAAGAGUAAGCCCUCAAAAUCCUAGGCCCCCACCCCCAUAAAAGCAGGACCCAGGCCUGUGCACUCUCUCUCUAUCCUCACGGCCUUGCUAUGUGGCCCCCGGUGUGCUGUGCAACUUCCAGGUCUGCUUUGCGCUAAACUGUAAUUAAAAAUGAAGUCAAUUGAAUCUCUGUGAAAACAAAUUAUUCCUGAGAUUUAAAAACUAGAAAUUUUAUCAGCCUUAGAAGAUUGCACCUACAGAAGCAAUGACAAUCCUACAGAUCGCACACUAAGAAUUAGUUGAUUGGUGGAUAAAUAUGAUGGAAUUUUGAUGGCAACUUUCAGUCAGUAGGGUCAUUCUGAUGUUGUAAGAUUGGUGUGCAAGCGAGAAUGCAGUUCAGCUACAAAGAACUAAGACUUUUUUAAUCUGAGGGUGUGGGGGAGGUGAGUCCUUUCUAACUGCCUUCUGGGGAUGGGAAGAAGGAACUAGAGAGAGCUCACCACUCUGUGGCAGUAGACCGCUUGUGCUGGUUAGCAAUGAGGUCUCAACCCCUGUCCCAGCCAUGAGAAGGAUCUGUCACGUCCAGCAUCGGAGCAGUGCACACUUGGCCCUCCCCCCAGGAAUGAAGCCUGUCUGCAAAGUCUGAUGUGGACAGCUAUUCACCUUAAGGACUGCCAACCUAAUUGAAUAUCAAACACCUUUUAGGUGACAAUCUCUCUAUAAAGUAACUCCCUGCUCAAAAGGUUUUUCCAAAAUAAGGAAGACCAUGGACAAUCUGCAGGAGGUGAGCCUCACCCCUACUAAUCAAGACAGGCAGUCCACAGAUGCUGCACUGGGGGCACAUCCAGACCCCCAUCCUUGACAAAAAGCCACUGGCCCUCUGGUCUCACGUUUGCUUUUCUCUCAUUUACAACUCGUCCUGCAUCUAGGACCACUUCUUUAAAAUCCAAAAUGUGCUGAGCUCUUUCAGGCGAGAGAGUCUACACAACACACUUGGCAAAGCUAACCUUGUGGAUGGUAGACCCCCUCAUAUCACGUCUAAUCUUCAUGGGUGAAAGCAACUUUGAGAAAAUAACCCACAGGUGUGAUUCUUCUCUCCUAUGACCGCCUCAAUGUGGGUGAGAGACAGACUGACAUUCACCCCCUGCCUAGGAGUGAACUCAGCUCAAAUUAGUGUCCAUCAUCCAGUUGGGACAGAAGGAUCUGAGAGGGAAUCCAUGCAGAUAGAACAGGACUACUCCUGCUUGAAUGGAAUUUCAGGUUUAGAGAGAAAUAGAGAAGCUUGGAGAAGAUAAAAAUUAGAUCUAAAUGAACUUGUCCCCUAGCCCAGCUGCCCUCUGCAGAGGGGCUCUGUGUAGUCUCUGCUCCAGCCCUCACCUCCCAGCUCAGCUCCCCUACAAGAGAUUAUGUAGAAGACAUCUGGGCUGUUACUAUGACUCCUCCCCAUUCCCAGCAAUUCUCAGACUUUCAUGUGCACAGGAACCAGCCGAGAACUUCAUGCAACUCAGAGUGUGACUCAGGCCAUUGGGAUUUCCAUCAAGCCCCUCAGCGAUGCCCAUGCUGGUCCGAGGGCCACACUGUGAGUGCCACAGUACUCCACCCCUUGGGGCAGGAAGAUCCUCUCUCACAUCUGGCCUGUGCUGGAGCCUGCAGUGGGAGGCCUCCUGGGACAGCCCACACAGGGUGACCGACAGAGAAAAUUCUUCCUCAUGUUGAAUUGAAUGGUGUACAGUCACUGGCUUUGCAGCCUUGCCAAUACAAUUAGUGUGGAGAGACGUCCGUGCUUCUCUCAGGCUGUGAGAAGGCCAGCAGCUGGGGAUCUGUGUUGUGUUUGAACUUGUUAAUUUGAUGAGCUGACAUGGCAGGUAGUGGAAACUCUUCCCUCAAAGUUGAAGAAGCCCAAGAGUUGUGUUCCCCGUACUUAGAUGGCCUGGGCAUCCCUGGGAAUGAGGCCUCCCCAUGGAAUCAAGCUUCCUUGAUCUUCUGAAGAUUAGAUAAGAUUCUGUCUGGAAGGAACAGACAUUCUACCCUCAUCCUUAUCAACCCUGGGGAAUGUGGGCUGGGGUGAAGCUUCAGGAUCAUCCCUUCCAAUCAGCUCAUUUAAAGAUGGGGAAUGGGAGACUUCGAGAGACUAAGGAGUUUCUCUUGAUUGACAUGUUGAAUUCAGGUGUGUGGUGCUCAGAGAUGUGACUCCGUGUCCAGUGCUCUUUUCCUCCAUCACACCUGGUCUUGGACCUUAAAGUUGAUGUUCCACUCUGGAGUUGGAAAGAUGCCUUCAAGUCAUCAGAGAGACCGUAAAAACAGAAUCAUUUUUAUAAAUUAUAAUGUAAA
ensembl:lncRNA